CCACCUCCCGGACUACUAGUAAAUAUAACCUAUCUGUCAGCCAGCCGCAAAAACAGUUGUUUUUGAUUUUAGAUAUUCUUUUCAGUAUUUUUUAAUCAUGGUAUAUUUUCCAUCUAAAUUCAGAAUGGAGUUUUUCUAACAAGUAUACAGCUUUAUAUUCGUGGCGAAAGGCGAAAUAAAAUAAGGAGAAGAAGUUGGAUUCACUAGGCCACUGCGGCAGAUAGGUAUUUAACUUCCUAAUGAACCAUGGGAGUUCACUGCUAUAUACUCCAUGAAUAUUCAUUUGGCCAAUCCGUAAUAGAUAUGUGAAAAUGAACACAAAAAGUGUCUAUUUCAUUGAAAUCCCCAAAACAAAUCAAAAAGUAGUUUAGCGUUACUCC